rnacentral:rRNA from 1 species
AAAUUGUCCAAUCCUGACUCAGGGAGACAGUGACCAGAAAUAACGAUAAGCUGCCUACGGUAGCAAUUCGGAAUGAGCACAAAGUAAAAUUCUUAGCGAUCACCAAGUGGAGGGCAAGCCUGGUGCCAGCAGCCGCGGUAAUACCAGCUCCACUAGCGUAUACUAAAGUUGUUGCUGUUAAAACGCUCCUAGUUGGAUAUCAGCCGUCCGGGGCAUGGCCCGGCCGUGUUACGGUCGCGCGCCAAAGCGGGUUUACCCGUCGCUCCUUCGGCUUUUUCAGGAGUGCCGGUCUGCCAUUAACUUGGUUUGGGCCGGCGUGCUCUGAUCUUUUACUUUGAGAAAAUUAGAGUGCUCAAAGCAGGCUACGCCUGAAUGCAUAUCAUGGAAUAACAUUACUAGACUUUGGGCCCCGCGGCGACUUAAAAUCGCUGCGGGGGGUUUUUGUUGGUUUUGGGCCAAAGUAAUGAUUGAUAGGAACAAACGGGGGUGCUAGUAUCGCCGGGCCAGAGGUAAAAUUCUAUGAUCCCGGUGAGACUGCCGUAUGCGAAAGCAUUCACCAAGCGUGUUUUCUUUAAUCAAGAACUAAAGCUGGAGGAUCGAAGACGAUCAGAUACCGUCGUAGUUCCAGCCGUAAACGAUGUCGACUAAGUAUUGGGCAUGCUUGAACUUCCCCAGCACUUUAUGAGAAAUCAAAGUUUUCGGACUCAGGGGGAAGUAUGCUCGCAAGAGUGAAAUUUAAAGGAAUUGACGGGAGGGCACCACCAGGAGUGGAGCCUGCGGCUCAAUUUGACUCAACACGGGAAAACUUACCAGGCCCGGACAUAGUGAGGAUUGACAGAUUAAAUGCAUGGCCGUUCUUAGUUGGUGGAGUGGUCUGUCUGGUUAAUUCCGAUAACGAACGAGACCCCGGCCAUCUGACUAGCCGUCGCUACUUGUUAGCGCUUGGCCUAGCCAAGUUCGGCUUCUUAGAGGGACUAACUGUGUUCAGCAGUGGGAAGCGUGGGGCAAUAACAGGUCAGUGAUGCUCUUAUAAGGUCUGGGCUGCACGCGUGCUACAUUGGCGCAUUCAACGAGUCCAACCUUCCUCGAAAGAGAUGGGUAACCUUUAAAGUGCGCCCAAGUGGGGAUAGACGAUUGUAAUUAUUCGUCUUGAACUAGGAACUCCUAGUAAACGCAAGUCAUCAUCUUGCAUUGAUUACGUCCCUGCCCUUUGUACACACCGCCCGUCGCUCCUACCGAUCGAAUAAUGCGGUGAACUGGGUGGAGGAACGCUGUUUCGGCAGUGUUCUUAAGCCCCGUGAACCUUGUUAUUUAGAGGAAGGACAAGUCGUAACAAGGUUUCCGUAGGUGAACCUGCGGAAG